AAAUUGAAGAGUUUGAUCAUGGCUCAGAUUGAACGCUGGCGGCAGGCCUAACACAUGCAAGUCGAACGGUAACAGGAAGCAGCUUGCUGCUUCGCUGACGAGUGGCGGACGGGUGAGUAAUGUCUGGGAAACUGCCUGAUGGAGGGGGAUAACUACUGGAAACGGUAGCUAAUACCGCAUAACGUCGCAAGACCAAAGAGGGGGACCUUCGGGCCUCUUGCCAUCGGAUGUGCCCAGAUGGGAUUAGCUUGUUGGUGGGGUAACGGCUCACCAAGGCGACGAUCCCUAGCUGGUCUGAGAGGAUGACCAGCCACACUGGAACUGAGACACGGUCCAGACUCCUACGGGAGGCAGCAGUGGGGAAUAUUGCACAAUGGGCGCAAGCCUGAUGCAGCCAUGCCGCGUGUAUGAAGAAGGCCUUCGGGUUGUAAAGUACUUUCAGCGGGGAGGAAGGGAGUA
rnacentral:rRNA from 1 species